GCGUGAACGAUGAAGGCCUUAGGGUUGUAAAGUUCUUUCACCGGGGAAGAUAAUGACGGUACCCGGAGAAGAAGCCCCGGCUAACUCCGUGCCAGCAGCCGCGGUAAUACGGAGGGGGCUAGCGUUGUUCGGAAUUACUGGGCGUAAAGCGCACGUAGGCGGAUUGAUCAGUUAGAGGUGAAAUCCCAGGGCUCAACCCUGGAACUGCCUUUAAUACUGUCAGUCUGGAGAUCAUGAGAGGUGAGUGGAAUUCCGAGUGUAGAGGUGAAAUUCGU
rnacentral:rRNA from 1 species